GAUUAACGCUGGCGGCGUGCAUAACACAUGCAAGUCGAACGAUGACACUUAGUAGACUUCUUCGGAAAGACACCAAGCGGAGUAGGGGCGAACGGGUGAGUAACACGUUAGUAACCUGCCUUACACAAGGGGAUAGCCGUUGGAAACGAAGAAUAAUACCCUAUAAAACCAUAAAAGCACAUGCUAGAAUGGUCGAAGUGAUAGCGGUGUAAGUUGGACUUGCAACUGAUUAGCUAGUUGGUGAGAUAAAAGCUGACUAAGGCAACGAUCAGUAGCCGGCUUGAGAGAGUGUACGGCCCCAUUGGGAGUGGGACACGGGCCAGACUCCUACGGGAGGAAGCAGUGGGGAAUUGUGCACACCGGGGGAAACGCUGAUGCAGCGACGCCUGGGUAUUAAGAAGGCCUUCGGGUGGUAAAAAGCUUUUGUAUAGGAAGACAAUGACAGUACUAUACGAAUAAGGUCCGGCUAAUUACGUG
rnacentral:rRNA from 1 species